AAUAGCAAACCCGUAAAAAAAUACUUGAAAACAAUGAAAUUCCAAGUUCCCAAAUGUCGUAAGUUGCAAGUAAAGAGCUGUUCGCCUGAGGAGGAAGGGAAAAAUGUUCGUCUGGCCUACGUAUUUCACUUUCAACUUUCGGUUCUUUUGAAUCCUCAAUUUUCACCGCUUCAUCUUCAUUCAUGAAGCCCUAACCCUAGACUGAGAUGUCAGUACCGACUCAGAAGCAAUCACGCAGCUAAAGAAAAAUACGAACCAUUAUAUGGCAGUGAUUUCAAUGGUGGACCGAGGAAGUAUUCUGGGUCAUUCAUCGUGGACGCAUGAAGAAUCGGGGUUAAACCACGAAGAUCCAGAAGAUCACUACGUGGAGACGAGUUCCAAGCUCCACCAACUGUGUACAGUCAUACUUUAAUUGUGAGAUGUUGAUUCCUGAAGGAGAAUGUUCUGUUGGAACUCAAGCUUUUGGAUACUUUUGGAUCUUCCUCACUGUUUUUCUGGGACCUAUUUCUCCGGAGGACAAUGAUAAUUAAGGUGCUAAUUGAAAGUACUGUCACUGCUGCCAGUAUGCUAAUGAUUAUUGCCCAUUUGUGCUUCGUUCCUGAUAAUGAAUGAAAAAAACAAGUCAACUGUUUCAAGAAAAUAUAUAGUGAUUUCAAUGAAAUUUCUAGAAUAUUUGCUUAUAAAACUA